rnacentral:rRNA from 1 species
UACGUAGGGACCGAGCGUUGUCCGGAAUCAUUGGGCGUAAAGAGCGUGUAGGCGGCUUGUUAAGUCUUGCGUGAAAUCUCGGGGCUCAACCCCGAGCGGUCGUGAGAAACUGGCAGGCUAGAGUGCGGGAGAGGAGAGUGGAAUUCCUGGUGUAGCGGUGAAAUGCGUAGAUAUCGGGAGGAACAUCAGUGGCGAAGGCGGCUGCCUGGCCCAAUACUGACACUCAGGUGCGACAGCGUGGGGAGCAAACAGG